AAGUGUUACAGCUCUUUUACUAUUUGUCUAGAAGGUUUUUACAGUGUAGGAGCCCCA
ensembl:snRNA U7 U7 small nuclear RNA